rnacentral:rRNA from 1 species
AAUAGAUACCCGGGUAGUCCACGCCGUAAACGAUGAGUGCUAAGUGUUAGGAGGGUUUCCGCCCUUUAGUGCUGAAGUUAACGCAUUAAGCACUCCGCCUGGGGGAGUACGGCCGCAAGGCUGAAACUCAAAGGAAUUGACGGGGGCCCGCACAAGCGGUGGAGCAUGUGGUUUAAUUCGAAGCAACGCGAAGAACCUUACCAGGUCUUGACAUCCUCUGACAACCCUAGAGAUAGGGCUUCUCCUUCGGGAGCAGAGUGACAGGUGGUGCAUGGUUGUCGUCAGCUCGUGUCGUGAGAUGUUGGGUUAAGUCCCGCAACGAGCGCAACCCUUGAUCUUAGUUGCCAUCAUUCAGUUGGGCACUCUAAGGUGACUGCCGGUGACAAACCGGGAGGAAGGUGGGGAUGACGUCAAAUCAUCAUGCCCCCUUAUGACCUGGGCUACACACGUGCUACAAUGGACGGUACAAAGAGCUGCAAGACCGCGAGGUGGAGCUAAUCUCAUAAAAACCCGGUUCUCAGUCCGGGA